rnacentral:rRNA from 1 species
UACGAAGGGGGCUAGCGUUGCUCGGAAUCACUGGGCGUAAAGCGCACGUAGGCGGAUCUUUAAGUCAGGGGUGAAAUCCCAAGGCUCAACCUUGGAACUGCCUUUGAUACUGGGGAUCUCGAGUCCGGAAGAGGUUGGUGGAACUGCGAGUGUAGAGGUGAAAUUCGUAGAUAUUCGGAAGAACACCAGUGGCGAAGGCGACUCGCUGGACAAGUAUUGACGCUGAGGUGCGAAAGCGUGGGGAGCAAACAGG